rnacentral:rRNA from 1 species
AGAGUUUGAUCCUGGCUCAGGAUUAACGCUAGCGGCGUGCCUUAUGCAUGCAAGUCGUACGGGGUGCCGCAAGGCACUCAGUGGCGAACGGGUGAGUAACACGUAAGUAACCUGCCCCUGGGUGGGGAAUAACCCACCGAAAGGUGGGGUAAUACCGCAUAUGGUCCUUUGCCAUAAGGUAGAGGACUAAAGCCCCAAAAGGGCGCUCGGGGAGGGCUUGCGUCCGAUUAGCUAGWYGGURGGGURACGGCCUACCGUGGCGAUGAUCGGUAGCUGGUCUGAGAGGACGGCCAGCCACACGGGGACUGAGACACGGCCCCGACUCCUACGGGAGGCAGCAGCAAGGAAUCUUCCGCAAUGGGGGCAACCCUGACGGAGCAACGCCGCGUGGGGGAUGACGCCCUUCGGGGUGUAAACCCCUUUUCUGCGGGAAGAAGGKCGGGGCAWCCGCGCCUUGACGGUACCGSAGGAAGAAGGACCGGCUAACUACGUGCCAGCAGCCGCGGUAAUA